ensembl:lncRNA C10orf95-AS1 C10orf95 antisense RNA 1
AGCUGGGGAUCACCGUCGCCCUCGGCUUGGCAGGAAGGCGGGGGUGCAAGAAGAAAAGAGGUACAGAACACCCAGAGGUGCCCUCGAUUCCGUCUUGCACUUGCCCUUCUCCCACCGUCCAGCAAUAAAGCGAGAGAAACAAGUGCAGGAAACUGGCCGGCAGUCAUGGGAGAAGCCAAAAAGACAGGUGAGCAGCGCGUCCGCCUCCCGCGCACAGGAGUUCAGUGGCAUGACCAGGGCUCACUGCAACCUUGAUCUGGGCUCAAGUGAUCCUCCUACCUCAGCUUCCUGAGUAGCUAGGACCACAGGUGUGCACCAACCACACCCGACUAAUUUUUGUAGAGAUGAGAUCCCACUAUGUUACCCAGGCUGGUCUUGAACUCCUGGGCUCAGGUGAUCAUCCUGCCUUGGCUUCCCAAAGUACUGGGAUUAUAGGCUUGAGCCACCGUGCCUGGCCUGUGAUCAGAAUUCUCAUUUUUUUAGUCACUAAAAAUGCUGGGGGGCACUCCAUUCUCCAUUAUGUGAUUAGUUCACAUUGCAUGCUUGUAUCAAAACAUCAUAUAUACCCCACAAAUAUAUACAAAAAACUUUAAAAUUUUAAGUAUUAAUUGCUCAGGAAAAAAUUAAAAUGCUGGGGUGCUGAAAUCUCAAGGGCCCCAUUACAAAACUCCUUAGGAACCUCGCCCUCUCUCUGCUGUAAGGACUGGUUCCAGAAUGAGAGAAUUUAAAAGACAUUCCCCCCCCAAAAUGUUCAUAAUGUCACCCCGGAAACCUGCGAAUAUGUUAUAUUACAUGACCAGGGAGAAGUAAGGUUGCAGAUGGCAGUAAGGUUGCUAAUGGGCUGACCUUAAGAUAAGGAGAUGAUCCUGGAUUAUCUGGGUGGACCCAAUGUAAUCACAAGGGUCCUUAACUGUGGAAUAGUGAGGUGGCUGAGUCAGAGGCAGAGUGAUGCAAUGACUGAAAGACUUAACCAGCCAUCACCGGCUUUGAAUACGGAAGACGGUCAUGAGCCAGGGAAUGCAGGCAGGCUCUGGGAGCUGAAAAAAGCAAGAAAAUGGAUUCUCCCCUGGAGCCUCCAGAAGGGAUGCGGUCCUGCCAACCCCUUGUCAGUGAGCCAUUUCAGAUUUCUGACUUCCAGGACUGUAAGAAAAUAAACUUGUCUUGUUUUCAGCCACCAA